AAAACUAUAGUUCUUAUAAAUAUUUGAAAGAAUUUAUUGGUGUUGAAACGCAUAUACUUUAAAAUAACAUCAUGCAUUAACAUAAACAAAAUGUCGAGGUGAAAGAAGAAAAUGUCUUAUGGGAAUCCAAGGGGAAGCCCCAAGAGGAGUUCUCACAGUACAAGGAUUACAACUACUGGAAGGAUCUGUUUGAUCCAAAAACUCCUGAAAAAACAACACGACAAUAUAUUAAAAGACCACUUAGCUCGCUCUUGGGAAGAGCAGUUUGGUCAUGGUCAGAUCUGGCCUCAUGUGGCAGGGACGAACCAAUGGGUUUUGUAGGUAGCAAAACAAGCGGAGUUGUUUUUGGUAAUCCUAAUGAUAUCGGAGAUCGAUUAAUGGCACCAGAUACAUAGAAAAACAAGUUUUCAGAGACGUAGGCUUAAUCAUUUGGAUUUUGAGGUCCCGCCAUCAUCGUCUUCUUGAGGGAGAUAGAUCAAUCAUGAUCCUAGAUCGUCCUAGUCUGAAUUCUACUCUUGGCAAGCUCCACUUUCUACGCUGCUGCAUAAUAAAAGAAUAUAAGGCUCCUCAUCAACCUCAAUCUUGAGUUACCUAGGUGGAGAUCUUUCAGGUUAAGAACAGUGAGGCAGAUGAUUUUUUUCCUCAAGGGUCUCAGUGGUGGUUUACCGGUCUCGCCACCCAGUGCCGCUACUGGUUUCAGAGGUAGCCCAUUCCAUUCGUCUUCUGACUUCUUUCUCUACUUCGUUUUCUUUGACACUGCUUUAUUACUAUCUUGGCUCUUUCUUUGAACACUGCUUUAUUAUUAUAUUGGUUUGUAAUCGACCUUUUUCUUUAAACACUUCAUUGUUGCUUUAUUAUUAUAUUGUUUUGUAAUCGAUCUGAUCAUGACAUUUAAGUUCCAAGACUUUUAGGGUAUUUUGGAUAAUAACUU
rnacentral:sRNA from 1 species